rnacentral:rRNA from 1 species
AACGAACGCUGGCGGCAGGCUUAACACAUGCAAGUCGAGCGGAAGUUGGAGAGCUUGCUCUUCAACUUUAGCGGCGGACGGGUGAGUAACACGUGGGCAACCUGCCCUGCAGAUCGGGAUAACUCCGGGAAACCGGUGCUAAUACCGAAUAGUUUUCGCCACCUCCUGGUGGCGUACGGAAAGACGGUUUCGGCUGUCACUGCAGGAUGGGCCCGCGGCGCAUUAGCUAGUUGGUGGGGUAACGGCCCACCAAGGCAACGAUGCGUAGCCGACCUGAGAGGGUGGUCGGCCACACUGGGACUGAGACACGGCCCAGACUCCUACGGGAGGCAGCAGUAGGGAAUCUUCCGCAAUGGACGAAAGUCUGACGGAGCAACGCCGCGUGAGUGACGAAGGUUUUCGGAUCGUAAAACUCUGUUGUGAGGGAAGAACAAGUACCAACUAACUACUGGUACCUUGACGGUACCUCACCAGAAAGCCACGGCUAACUACGUGCCAGCCGCCGCGGUAAGAC